UACAGAGGUCUCAAGCGUUGUUCGGAUUCAUUGGGCGUAAAGGGUGCGUAGGUGGCGGGGUAAGUCGGAUGUGAAAUCCCGGGGCUCAACCUCGGAACUGCAUUCGAUACUGCUUUGCUUGAGUACUGGAGAGGAGAUUGGAAUUUACGGUGUAGCAGUGAAAUGCGUAGAUAUCGUAAGGAAGACCAGUGGCGAAGGCGGAUCUCUGGACAGUUACUGACACUGAGGCACGAAGGCCAGGGGAGCAAAGCGGG
rnacentral:rRNA from 1 species